GCGAAAUCCCUGGUCGGCCAUGGCCAGCUGCGUCGACGGCGACGCCUGAGGGCGUCGUUCCCCUCCUUGGAGGCGUCGGUAUGGACUGAUCCCCUCACUUCCCCUUCCCCUAGGUCUCCCGGGCGAAAGCCCUAACUUCGUUGGGCGGCGACGGCGCUCACGGCGCCGUUCCCUUCUUGAAGGCGCCGCUUUUGGGAACCUUGGGGCUGGGUGGCGAUUGUGGGUGGUGGGCAAUGGCGGUGGUGCGACCCUAUCCUAGCAUGGAUCUGCGUCCGUUGCUUGAAGAUGGACUCGCGUAGGUGGAGGUCGUCGUUUGGCGUCCUGGUGGCGUCGAUGGCGAAGACACCUGUCAAGGUUGGCACCUCAAUCUGCUCUGAAGAUGGACCAGUGGAAGAUGAUGGCGACGACACAUGUGAGUGCGUCGGACCGGUUUGUGCCCCGGACCCGGUAUGUGGCUUGGUCGGGGCCUCCGGCUUUAGAUGUUAGGCUUAGAUGACAGGUCUGGGUAUUUGGCCCAGCUUGCAUCCCUUCAUAUUGGAGUAGCGGCAAAUGUUGUCAAGAUGGCGGAUUCAGGUGCCAAGCAGGCCACUGCACGAGAUUAGGAGACAGUGCGGCUGCGUGGGACGCGUACGCAGCGACAAAACGAGGGGUCACGGUCUCACAGAUCGAAGGGUAAGCAACAAGGGACUGAUCCUCUAACGUUAAGAAGGAAAGUUAGGGAAGCUAAAAUACCUUAACUUUCCUUCUCUAUAUCCAUAUGAUUAUGGCUAAAACGCUUUAAAUUAAUUUGUAAAUUGAUGAUCUACUUUAUACAUUUAUAGUAAUUACAUACAAACAAAUUGAUGAUGAAAUAAAAUCAUUUUUAAAUUA